AUUGAACGCUGGCGGCAUGCUUUACACAUGCAAGUCGAACGGUAACAGGGUGCUUGCACCGCUGACGAGUGGCGAACGGGUGAGUAAUGCGUCGGAACGUGCCGAGUAGUGGGGGAUAACGCAGCGAAAUUGUGCUAAUACCGCAUACGUACUGAGGUAGAAAGUGGGGGACCUUCGGGCCUCACGCUAUUCGAGCGGCCGACGUCUGAUUAGCUAGUAGGUGAGGUAAAGGCUCACCUAGGCGACGAUCAGUAGCGGGUCUGAGAGGAUGAUCCGCCACACUGGGACUGAGACACGGCCCAGACUCCUACGGGAGGCAGCAGUGGGGAAUUUUGGACAAUGGGCGAAAGCCUGAUCCAGCCAUGCCGCGUGUCUGAAGAAGGCCUUCGGGUUGUAAAGGACUUUUGUCAGGGAGGAAAUCCCUAGUUCUAAUAACACUGGGGGAUGACAGUACCUGAAGAAUAAGCACCGGCUAACUACGUGCCAGCCGCCGCUGUAA
rnacentral:rRNA from 1 species